GUUUCAAUGGAUAGCUUUCGAUACAGUGAGAAACCACAGCUUGGCCAACACCCAGGCAUUCAGCAAUAAAAUUCUGGUGCUGUGACUUGGAUUGCAGUGCUUGUGGCUCAGUGGCCACAGGCUAGAGAGAUCUGGAAACCCUCCCAGCAGCUGCCCAGCUAUAUUCAUCCAGAGGCGGGUUUUUGUUUCUCUCUCUUCCCUCACUGCUGCUGGCCCCAACCAUAUUCUUGAUUACUUAUGAAGGACAGGCUUUGAAAUUUGACAUCUGUAUCCAUCAAGGUUGGAGUGCAGUGGCACGAUCUCAGCUCACUGAAAGCUCCGCCUCCCGGGUUCCCGCCAUUCUCCUGCCUCAGCCUCCCGAGUAGCUGGAACUACAGGCACCCGCCACCGCGCCUGGCUAAUUUUUUGUAUUUUUAGUAGAGACGGGGUUUCACCGUGUUAGCCAGGAUGGUCUCAAACUCCUGACCUCGUGAUCCGCCUGCCUCGCCUCCCAAAGUGCUGGAUUACAGGCGUGAGCCACCGCGCCCUGCCACAAGAGGGUAAGGAAACUGAAAUAUGACAAGGUUAAAUGAUUCAGAUGAGGGGCCGGAAAGCACGCCUCCCGAGACCCAUUCCUGGAAGCGGGUCUUUAAAGCUGCUCUCAGUUUAAAAUCAACCAAAUGCUCAGAUAUCAGAUGCGGAAACUGAGGCACAGGGAAUUUGAACAACUUGCUCAAGGUCAUAAAGCUAGAAGGAGGCACAGCCAAGCAUGGGCUUGUGUGACCUCAAAGCCUAUGUUCUCGCCACUGCUCUAAACUGUUUAUUCUGUUGGCUUGUCAUAAUGAUUGAAGACAAUGUAUAUAAAUCACAGAGGGUAGGACUCAGCUUGUAAUAUGUCCUCCAUACAUUUUAUCGAACAUUAUUAAUUAAUAAACAACAGAUAAAUAACAACAGUGCUUUGUUUGAUUAAAUUAUAUAUAUGAUUAUAUUUCUUCAGUGAAAUUGUUGGUUAUGCAUUUCUUACAAAUAAUUCACAAAUAUUAAUGAAUGUCUGUGUUGCAGCAGGCAUUUUGCUCACCACGGUGGACCUGGGGGUAUGUGAAAUAGGCACCAUCUCUGCUCUCACAAAUUUAAUACGUGCAGGCUGCUGGAUUGGACUAAAGUCCUGAGGAGAACUAUAACAAUCUCUUAGAGGGAACAGUGAUUAAACAGGGAUCAAUUGUGCCACCCAUAUAGCCUUCCUACUUACUGAUCAAGAAUGAUAGCAGACCUUAGCAAGUGCAAAUCAACAAGAGGAAUCCAAUGGUGCUAUUCACUACUAUGAAGCUUUUCAUUUUGCCUCUUACUAAGAUUUCAAAGCUAUUCUUGCCCCCCACCCCACACAAAAACAAAUACUGUGCAAUCUCACUUACAUGUGGAAUCUGAAAAAGUUGAACUCGUAGAAGCAGAGAGUACAAUAGUGGGUGCCAUGGGCUGGGGGUGGAGGAAAUGGGAGAUGAUAGUCAAGGGUACAAACUUUCAGUUAUAAGAUGAACAAGUUCUGGGGCUCUAAUGUACACGAUGGGUGGUGAUGAAUGUUUUAAUUAAUUUGAUUAUUGUAAGAAUUACACAAUGUAUACAUUUAUCUAAUCAUCAUAUUAUAUACCUU
rnacentral:lncRNA from 1 species